GUCAGUGUAGAAAGCCCAGGCAUUGUCCCAUAGCUGGCCCUGUGUGUUUGCACUGAUUCCUCAGAAUAAGUUUGCAGAUAGCUUAACUUCCAGAAUUCCUGAGUUUCACUAGUCCCCCUUCUUUAUGAUGAAUUGGAAAAAGGGUAUAUUCUGGGAUAAAGCAAGAGGAAACUGGGUGCAGCAAAGAUCCCUAGACCAUUUUUCCCAGUGGCCCAUUGCUCCUGCUGCUUUUUUCAUACCAGCUGAAUCUCCCUAAACCCCACGUCUGCGGCAAAGUCUUCGUGGUGAAACAGGUGAGUCACACUUUUCUGCUUCUCUGCAAUUACAAAUGUUAUCACCUCAUCUGACACAGAGAGGGUGUUGGUUGGAAAUACGCAUUAGGAAUAAGCUCUUUGGAAACAGCAAAACUGCCUUCAUGAAAUGAAGACUUUUUUUUAGAAAGUCUGGAGCUAAAGUUAUAAAAAUAAAGAGGCGUCAUCUCCCUUUCCUUCUCCUACAAUAAUGGAAAUGAAAUAUCAAAGUAAACAGCACCACAUCCAUGUCCUCAGCACAUGUGACUCGCUAACAGAACCAUGCCAGCCACCCCAUCCCUUCUCUCCCAUAUUCUCUGCUGUUCUCACUGUCUCUCAAGACCUGAUUUAAAACCACCUUCACUAAGAAGUCUUCCUGUCCCCCUUCUGGUCCUUCACGGAAUAUUAUUUUGCUUCUGAAACUUAAAAAAACAAUUUUGUUCUCAGGUCAUUCUCUGUGUACAUCCCAUCUCGUCCAUCCUACAGAUUAGAUGUUCUUCCAGGGUAGAGGCGACCCCAUCUCAUGUCUUUUUAUUCUCCCUCUGCUUUUUAUUCCCACAGGCAGUCUUCAGUACAAGAAGCGUCAAUCUCAGAUCUUACUCAUUUCCAACCUGUACCAAUCAAAGGCCCUCCCAGCCAAGAUAAAAGCAAAGUCUCCCUCCUCCAGAGCACAUGGGAAUGGCCCCCCAGUAGCUGGGGCAUGCAAGCUAAUGAAGUUUCAUCUUCCACCUCUAUCCAAAUAUGACCUUGCUGAUACCAUCUCCUAUUAGAUGACAAAUCCGGAUGUUUCUAUUGCAUGGUUGUUAUUUGCCACAUGCUUCCUGGACAAGUUUCUAGGUAACCUUAAUGUCUGUGCUUCUGGGGAAGGAGGAGUAGAAAAUAACUCACCUCUUCAGUAAGUGGUUUUAAAAAUAUAACAGUGUUUAAAAGCUUUUAGAGAGCAGCUCUCCUUCCGGCUGCUCCAGCUCUGUUUGCUUUGUGAUAGGAGCCCCCGUAACACUUCGUGCUUGGCAACAUCUGACGAGGACAGAAGGCAGG
rnacentral:lncRNA from 1 species